UCGCUCAUUUGCUGGCACACUUCGGCCCCCACAGUGCAAACCUAGCUCUCUUUCCCCUCGACCCCCACAGCGCAGCGCAUCACCACUCCCUCCUCCCUCAUCAGCCGCCGCCAGGUCUUCUCGCUGGGGUCGAAGAGUAGGGGAUCCGGCUGGAUCCGAGGCGUGCGGGCGUGGUGGCGGUCAUCUUUGGCAGCGGCGGCGGCGGGCAUCUCCGGCAAAAAGCGAUGGCGGGGAUGCUCGAUUCGCCAUGGACCGGUCCCUGCAGGAGAGAGAAAGAAAGAGAGGAGGGAGAAAGCGAGAGGAAAGAGGAGAGGGAGGUGCGACGGCGGGCGGGAGAGGGUCUCCGGCCGGUGCGAGACAUUCACGUCUCUCGUCCUCUCCUGCUCUCGACCACCACCGUGGCCCUCCUUCUCCCCUUCAAUUCCCUGUCUCCUCUUCUCUGGAGUUACCUGAGUGGUCAACACCGAGAAAGAUGGGGAAUACAAAGCCAGCGAGGAAGACAGCUUGACUCUGCCGCCGAUACUGACCGGCCAAUUCUGUCGGGCGCCGUCAUGGGAGGAGGCGAACCAUCGAGGAGCAGCACGGGAGGAGAUAAAGAUAAGCCGCCGGACUCCCUGUUCACUUGUGGUUGCAUCUUGCCCGUGAGCUCCUUCUUCUUACAGCCAGCUUGGCCCUUUUCUUGCCAUGUUUUGGGUGAUGCAGCGUAUCAAGCAGGCGAGGGCGAGGAUCAGAUGCGGUAGCAGCUGAAGGAGUCAUGGAGAGGGGGCGAGAGUGGGCAGCGGCUGUCGGCCAAGAAGGAAGAGGCUGGGACGAGGACCGGAGGAGGAGGUUCUCAUGGUGGAGCAUAGGAGGACGGAGGCGGAGUGCUGCUGCAACAGCUGUGGGACUGGGCGAAAGGAUGAAAUUAUUGUUUACUUUAGAUUGGGGCGCUGGAGCCAAUGAAAAAAGAUCACUGCAGCUUUGAAUGUGGGCACAAGUCAAAUGAAACUAUUGGAUGGAGCAAUUCAGUGCGGUGGGGUACAGGGGCUCGUGCAGGAGUAUAUAUAACAGCAGAGUUCAUCUCUGUUUUGCUGACAAUCCACACUGAAACUGUUGAAAAGUAGAUAAUCAGCCAAUAAACAGUAAAUCAUCACAUCUAUUUGCUUUCCUGGUAUAUGGGGCCAUUAUUAUUCUGGUACUUCUAAAGAGUCAUUAUUCUUAUGGUACUUCUACAUUUGCAUAUCUUUGUGUUCAGAUGGAAGUCACCUGGCAAAGGUCUAACGUUUCAGAUUUAAUGUUAUAUACAUGCCCAAGAGUAAUACGUUAUAUAAUAUACUCUAGAUUGUAUUCUUAUUUAGUUUUUUUCAUGCUUCUUGUUUCACUGGGCUAUUGCAAAGACGACAUAUCCACUUGGAGUUGGAUAUUAUUUUGAUAACCAUAUCUAGCUAUUUUUACAAAAUAAUAUCAAUUAACUUGCAUCGAUUCAAUGCUAGAGCGGUAGUCAUGAAACAUUGCCACUGCGCCACAAGGCGAUUAAAAUCAUGGAAAUUGAUAUAAAAGUUACUUGUGAUUUCUAUAGUCAUGUAAUCACAAACCAUAAUGAUAAAAAAGCCAAAUUGUUUAUUUUAUUGGAGAACACAUCAACUAUAUGGAGAAUCAAAGGUGAAUGUAAAUGAAACGCUCCAUGUACGUUUAGGCUCCAAUAUAAGAUUAAAAUAGUGGAUAAAUCAUUGUACCAUAUUCAAUUAGAACUACAAAGAAGAAGAGAAAUGGUUGAAUAGCAAAUUCUGACCGGCCAAUUCCGUCGGGCACCGUCAUGGGAGGAGGCGAACCAUCGAGGAGCAGCAUGGGAGGAGAUGAAAAUAAGCUGUCGGACUCCCUAUUCACUUCUGGUUGCAUCUUGCCUGUGAGCUCCUUCUUCUUACAGCUAGCUUGGCCCUUUUAUUGUCAUGUUUUGGGUGUUCCUUCCUACAGCCAGCUUCGCCAUUUUCUUUGGAAGUAGUAAUUCAACUCAGAAAGCAUAAAUAAUUUGAGACUGCUUCUGUCCUCCCUACAAUUUGUUGAAGUCAUCAUUCUUUUUUCUUUUUUUCUGUAGUUUUUCCUCAUCUUUUACAGUUUAUUUGGGUUAUUUCAUUCUCUGGUACUUGGGCAUAUUGGUUGUCUCGUUGUCUCCUUUUACUAACAGUAUUUCCUAUUCAGUGUAUGGGAGAGGUUACUAGCUCACAUAUAUAGUUUAGUUAUUAAGUUUCUAAAUAAGUUCAGCCUCAGAGCUCGGAUUUUGUACGCUUCAAAAUUGGAGUGUGACUUUUGCUUGCUGAUUGAUUCAGUUAUGGUGUGGAUGCCUACUACUCAAAAUGAUUUUAUAUCGUAUCAUAAAUUUCAGGAACCGUAUCACAACAAAUCAUUGGCAUUGCAGCUUCAGGGACAUGUAUGAUGCAGCUUCAGGGAUUUUAGUGUAUACAAGCCAUCCUACUCGCUGCCCUCCUCAGCUACUCAGAUAGUUAUUCCUUCUCAUUAUCAGUGAAUAAGUUGGUUACAGAACAUGGUUGAAGAUUGUAGUACAUAGAGAUUGCCUGGCAGACUAAAAUAAUUAGGAGCUUCUGAUUGGACCCUUCAAGCAAUAGUGUUGUCAAUAUAUUAAUUAUUGGAUUAUGUUACUAUACUCUUAGAACAGCUUCCUGAUAUAUGUAUUUAUAGGAUUCUCUGAUAUUUGAUGCAAAAUAUUGAUGGUCGGGUGAAUGCAGUGGACUCAUCGAGAUUGAGGGCACCAACAGCAUAUGCCGAGGGCGUCCAUCGACAACCUGCCCAAUGUCCGGAUUCACCGAGGAGUACAGCUAGAGACACUAUUGGUUGCCUGCAGGCCUGUGAGUUGAGUUGCUGCUUCGUUGGAGAUGUUGAUGUUGUUCGAGACGCCCGCUGGAUUCACCCUUUUCAAGGUUCUGAAUUAGGGCAAGCUCGACAAGGUUGAGUGGUACAGGUAUGAUCUUCAUGGAGCUAGCCAUCAUUGGAUUUGGUAAUACAUAAUCACUUAUUCAGAGAGCCCAAGGUGAGAAGGGACGAGCAUCUAGAACACCACCACCUACUAAUCAGCGAGCUACUAUCUGUCUUUGAAUGAGUUACUUAACAAGAGAAGGCAGGAGUUUCCUACCUUUCUUCUGCAAAUCCGGAAUGCCUUUAUGGCAUGAUCAUGUGAAAAAGUACCUUGAUGCAGUAAUGGAUUUGAUUAUCACUGGUUACUCUGUUUUCACGAAUUACUAUCCAACUAGCAUGGAAGAACCAAAAGGUAGUUGAUCAGCAGGAUGGCAAGAGGAAGACAAGAACCAAAUUAAAGUUUGUUGUUGUGCAUGUCUGUAUCUAUCAAGAUUCAGUGCUAUGUAGAAAUGUCCCUGAGAUUUGUUUCACUCAACGAGACCAAACAAUCAGGAACACAAGUAGGAUAGUUGAUGCUUUUUUCAUUUUUCUUCUGAUAAAAAGGAAUCUUCAUCUGCCAAGAAUAAGGCCUACAAGCAUGUAUGCCUAAUUACCUAUAUGCUGAUUUAACGAGCUCA